GCCGAGGAGAGGACGAGAGAAACUCUAAGAGCAUUGGGAAUAGGAUCAUAGAGGAAAGUCUAGAGCUCGAGCUUUCCUUCAGUGUCAGAGGUACAAAUUUGCUUUGUGUUUUCCUGAUGCCUCGUAUUCCUAUCAAUCGUAGGCACUCUUUCCUCUUCCUUUUGGUU
rfam:Triticum aestivum genome assembly, contig: Triticum_aestivum_CS42_TGACv1_scaffold_424422_5BS